rnacentral:rRNA from 1 species
UGGGGAAUAUUGGACAAUGGGCGAAAGCCUGAUCCAGCCAUGCCGCGUGUGUGAAGAAGGUCUUCGGAUUGUAAAGCACUUUAAGUUGGGAGGAAGGGCAUUAACCUAAUACGUUAGUGUUUUGACGUUACCGACAGAAUAAGCACCGGCUAACUCUGUGCCAGCAGCCGCGGUAAUACAGAGGGUGCAAGCGUUAAUCGGAAUUACUGGGCGUAAAGCGCGCGUAGGUGGUUUGUUAAGUUGGAUGUGAAAUCCCCGGGCUCAACCUGGGAACUGCAUUCAAAACUGACUGACUAGAGUAUGGUAGAGGGUGGUGGAAUUUCCUGUGUAGCGGUGAAAUGCGUAGAUAUAGGAAGGAACACCA